UGGGGAAUCUUGCACAAUGGGCGAAAGCCUGAUGCAGCGACGCCGCGUGAGUGAAGAAGUAUUUCGGUAUGUAAAGCUCUAUCAGCAGGGACGAUAAUGACGGUACCUGACUAAGAAGCCCCGGCUAACUACGUG
rnacentral:rRNA from 1 species